GAUGAACGCUGGCUACAGGCUUAACACAUGCAAGUCGUGGGGAAACGGCAUUAUGUGCUUGCACAUUCUGGACGUCGACCGGCGCACGGGUGAGUAUCGCGUAUCCAACCUGCCCCUUACUUGGGGAUACCCCGUUGAAAGACGGCCUAAUACCCGAUGUGUUUCAUUGACGGCAUCCGAUAUGAAACAAAGGUUUUCCGGUAAGGGAUGGGGAUGCGUCUGAUUAGCUAGUUGGCGGGGCAACGGCCCACCAAGGCGACGAUCAGUAGGGGUUCUGAGAGGAAGGUCCCCCACAUUGGAACUGAGACACGGUCCAAACUCCUACGGGAGGCAGCAGUGAGGAAUAUUGGUCAAUGGACGCAAGUCUGAACCAGCCAAGUAGCGUGCAGGAUGACGGCCCUAUGGGUUGUAAACUGCUUUUAUGUGGGAAUAAAGUGGCGCACGUGUGCGCCAUUGCAUGUACCUCAUGAAUAAGGACCGGCUAAUUCCGUGCCAGCAGCCGCGGUAAUACGGAAGGUCCGGGCGUUAUCCGGAUUUAUUGGGUUUAAAGGGAGUGUAGGCGGUCUGUUAAGCGUGUUGUGAAAUUUAGGUGCUCAACAUUUAACUUGCAGCGCGAACUGUCAGACUUGAGUACACGCAGCGCAGGCGGAAUUCAUGGUGUAGCGGUGAAAUGCUUAGAUAUCAUGAGGAACUCCGAUCGCGAAGGCAGCCUGCGGGAGUGUUACUGACGCUUAAGCUCGAAGGUGCGGGUAUCGAACAGG
rnacentral:rRNA from 1 species